CCCUUAGAGUUUGAUCCUGGCUCAGGAUGAACGCUAGCUACAGGCUUAACACAUGCAAGUCGAGGGGAAACGAUAGAGAAAGCUUGCUUUUUCUAGGCGUCGACCGGCGCACGGGUGAGUAACGCGUAUCCAACCUGCCCACCACUUGGGGAUAACCUUGCGAAAGUAAGACUAAUACCCAAUGAUAUCUCUAGAAGACAUCUGAAAGGGAUUAAAGAUUUAUCGGUGAUGGAUGGGGAUGCGUCUGAUUAGCUUGUUGGCGGGGUAACGGCCCACCAAGGCGACGAUCAGUAGGGGUUCUGAGAGGAAGGUCCCCCACAUUGGAACUGAGACACGGUCCAAACUCCUACGGGAGGCAGCAGUGAGGAAUAUUGGUCAAUGGGCGAGAGCCUGAACCAGCCAAGUAGCGUGCAGGAUGACGGCCCUAUGGGUUGUAAACUGCUUUUAUAAGGGAAUAAAGUGAGCCUCGUGAGGCUUUUUGCAUGUACCUUAUGAAUAAGGACCGGCUAAUUCCGUGCCAGCAGCCGCGGUAAUACGGAAGGUCCGGGCGUUAUCCGGAUUUAUUGGGUUUAAAGGGAGCGCAGGCGGACCUUUAAGUCAGCUGUGAAAUACGGCGGCUCAACCGUCGAACUGCAGUUGAUACUGGAGGUCUUGAGUGCACACAGGGAUACUGGAAUUCAUGGUGUAGCGGUGAAAUGCUCAGAUAUCAUGAAGAACUCCGAUCGCGAAGGCAGGUAUCCGGGGUGCAACUGACGCUGAGGCUCGAAAGUGCGGGUAUCAAACAGGAUUAGAUACCCUGGUAGUCCGCACAGUAAACGAUGAAUACUCGCGAUUUGCGAUACACAGUAAGUCGCCAAGCGAAAGCGUUAAGUAUUCCACCUGGGGAGUACGCCGGCAACGGUGAAACUCAAAGGAAUUGACGG
rnacentral:rRNA from 1 species